UGAGUUGGUGCUGUGAGUGCAUUGAUGU
rnacentral:piRNA from 1 species